AUCAGUUCUUUGCCUCUCAGCACCCUGCUUUUCCCCCGAGAAAAAGAAAUUAAAGUUAUUUCUUAUGGGCUAGACAGUAUAUUGCCAGGUAUUGAAGACAGGAUUUAUCUUCUCUACUUCUUCUUUUAGAAGCAGAUCAAGAAACUGGCGAUUGAAGAGUAACUGAAAGAAACGCAAUCUGAUCUUACUAGCAGUGAAAGAGCGAGUGGAGGAAACAGAUGAAGGAAACAGCUUACACCAAGAUUUCAGAUACGAUCAUUUUGAAUAGCUAUUUCCUUUACUUUCCAGGAUUGUUUUUGUAAUCAGUUGAAAAAGAAUGCUUUUUUCCCCCUAGAGUUAGGGUUUAAAAAAUUACAUAUUUAUUAUUACACUGUUAAUAAGCUUUUUUGCAGUUUGUUUCUU
rnacentral:lncRNA from 1 species